UUGAUGUGGAAGCCUUGAAUCUGCAGAUUGCUUUUGAUUCCUUGCAUUGCUGCUAACUCCUGAAACUUCCACGGAAAGGCCAAAUAUUGCCAUGUUUUAUGUGACAUCACAGGAAUGGUUCUGCUUUUCUGGACAUAAGUCUUUUUUCCAACACCAUAAUAAGUAGGAGGACACACAACUACAUAUUAAAAUGUGGACACUUGAAGAAGAAAGACUUUCUAGAAAUGAUUUCUAUUGAGAUGAACCCCUGUAAAGUAUCUGGCUACAGCUGAAUGGAUAGUGCCUUUCCAUGGGAGAAGAAUCAAUAGAUUACAGAAAAAGAAAAAGGCAAAGCACUGUAGGUUCUUAAAUGAAAAUUGAUUUCUACCAUUGACCAUGAAACAAGCUCAUCAGUAACAUUGCAUUUGGAGAGAAGCUAAUUGUUUCUUCUUAAGAGAGCAUUUGAAUUUGGGACGAAAGUAGAAGAGGGAAAUCAAUCCUCUGUUAUAAAAAGUACCUUACUCACAACAUAAAGAUCCACGAAAUGCAAUAGUUGGAGAGAAGAAAGAAAGGAAGAAAAGGAGUCCAUUGUAUCCACUGAAUGGAUUGCCUCAGAAGGAAAGUUAGCUACAGUUCUCAGAAACAUGCGUGUUCAAUUUCUAUCUCCUUUAGUCACGUACAUUCUUGACCAGUAGAGAUAUCCUUUGUGUCUCUAAGUAAUACAGUAAAUGAAGCAUUAAAUAAAAUGUAACAUUGCAAAAUGACA
rnacentral:lncRNA from 1 species